ACGUGAACUCUGAACGAGUCACUUGUACAACUCUGAACGGUGGAUCACUCGGCUCGUGUGUCGAUGAAGAGCGCAGCCAACUGUGUGAAUUAAUGUGAAAUGUAGCCUGCUUAGAACAUCGACAUCUUGAACGCAAAUUGCGGCCGUAGCUUCGUC
rnacentral:rRNA from 1 species